rnacentral:rRNA from 1 species
AUUGAACGCUGGCGGCAUGCCUUACACAUGCAAGUCGAACGACGGCAGGGGGCAACUCCUGUCGAGUGGCGAACGGGUGAGUAACACAUCGGAACGUAUCCCGUCGUGGGGGAUAACCAGUCGAAAGACUGGCUAAUACCGCAUGAGAUCGAAAGAUGAAAGCGGGGGACCGCAAGCCCUCGCGCGACGGGAGCGGCCGAUGCCGGAUUAGCUAGUUGGCGGGGUAACGGCCCACCAAGGCGACGAUCCGUAGCUGGUUUGAGAGAACGACCAGCCACACUGGGACUGAGACACGGCCCAGACUCCUACGGGAGGCAGCAGUGGGGAAUUUUGGACAAUGGGCGCAAGCCUGAUCCAGCCAUGCCGCGUGUGUGAAGAAGGCCUUCGGGUUGUAAAGCACUUUCGGACGGAACGAAAUCGCGCGGGCGAAUAUCCCGCGUGGAUGACGGUACCGUAAGAAGAAGCACCGGCUAACUACGUGCCAGCAGCCGCAGUAACAC